rnacentral:rRNA from 1 species
UAACACGUAAAGAACCUGCCUCAUAGACGGGGACAACUAUUGGAAACGAUAGCUAAUACCGGAUAACAGCAUAAAUCGCAUGAUAUAUGUUUAAAAGUUGGUUUCGGCUAACACUAUGAGAUGGCUUUGCGGUGCAUUAGCUAGUUGGUGGGGUAAAGGCUUACCAAGGCGACGAUGCAUAGCCGACCUGAGAGGGUGAUCGGCCACACUGGGACUGAGACACGGCCCAGACUCCUACGGGAGGCAGCAUG